rnacentral:lncRNA from 1 species
AAAUAUCAAUUAAGCAAGAUUAAAGUACUGAAGAAUUUAACAAAAUACACAAUAUAAUCUCACUAGGACCCGAUGUCACGAAUUUGAGCCUCUAGAAUACAGAAUAUCAUCCUAAUACAUGGUAUAUCCAAAGUCUGAUAAUGCGGAAAUAAAGAGAUAGGAUAGGAGGGAGAAGAUCAAUGGCUGCGAACGCCGUGCAGCUACCUCGAUACUCCCAGAAGCUGGAUCUACUGAGCCUGAGACUGCCUUGGAUCUGCACACAAGGUGCAGGGAGUAAAGUGAGUACUCCGACCCAGUGAGUAAUAAAAGUAACUACAGUCCGAAGAUAAGAAAAUCCAGUAAAUACACAAAGUAAGCUAAAAUCCAAAUAUAUAGCAACAUAUGGAACUGAGCAGCUAAACAACAGUAUAAAUAGAAAUCCAUGAAUGCAAUGCAAUGCAUAUGAUGGUACAUUCCAGUACCCACUGCGGCGUGCAGCCCGAGCCAUCCAUAUUUAUUUAUCGUCGACGGCGCUCACUGGGGGUGUGUACAGACUCCGUAGGGGCUCCUACAGCCCAAGCGCAAUAUCUUGGUCAGUCAUUGUUACCUGACCGGUCAGCCAUUGUUACCUAACCAAUUUAUAUCAUACAGUUCCAUUGUUGCCACUGUUCAAGUAUAUCAUCCAGUGUCAUUGUUACCACUAUUUCAAGUAUAUCACACAGUGUCAUUGUUACCACUGUUUCAAGUAUAUCACACAGUGUCAUUGUUACCAUUGUUUCAAGUAUAUCACACAGUGUCAUUGUUACCACUAUUUCAAGUAUAUCACACAGUGUCAUUGUUACCACUGUUUCAAGUCACUUUAUAAUCAGUCCAGAAAAUAAUAUAAUAAGCCCCUUGGGCAUUUACAAAACAGAAGUUCUCAUCCCGGAAUACAUUUAAAAAUAUCAUUUAAGUUUUCAACACUUAGAAUUAUGGCUGAGUUUGCAAAACAGCAUUUAAAACCUUGGACUGAAAUUAAAUGAUAUGCAAAUCAUGCUAAGCAGUAAUAUCAAUCCUCUAAGGAUUUUACAAAUCGGCACAAGGCCCCAAACAUGGCAUCAAGCCCCGUAAUAUCAAUGAAGUAUGUGUAUCAAUCACCAGUAUAGUAUAAACAUCACACGGGAUGGACCAAGUCACAAUCCCCAAUAGUAUUUGACCCUGCACUCGCCAUGGAGUGCGUGUCACACCUCAAUAUAGCGUUACGAUGUGAAAGUUCGGGGUUUCAAACCCUUAGAACAGCAUUUACAUCUAUUACUCACCUCUAACCGGCAGUAAACUAGUCCGCAAUGCCCUUUCCUCUUGAAUCGACCUCUUCG